UCUUGUAAUACUCGCUCAAUUCCUUUCUAAAAAUCUCAUUAACUACCACCGGUCCAACAUCAUAACAAAAUCCCAAUGGUUCUUUCUUUCUUUUCAUCGAUCAUCUUCCUCAAUGGAUUUGGGAUGUUGGAGUUCUUCUACCAAAUCCUGAUCCCCUUUCCCAGAACGAUUUUUUUCUAUUGUGUAACUUACGCCAAUUUUCUUGAUUUUAGGGUUUUAUUUUCACUUGGAUUUCAUUUUACGAGCCUUCAAGCUUCUCAUUCUCUAACCGUCACCGUUUUUCAUAAACCUUUCACCGGUCACCGUUUCUCAUCGUCGUCACCGUUUCUCACCGUAACCUCAUCACCGUGUCUAUGAUCUUCUCAUUCUCUGAUCGUCACCGUUUCUCACAAACCCUUCACCAUCAUCGUUCUCAUCGUCGUCACUGUUUCUCAGAACCCUCUAAUCUUCUUUCACGAACCUUUCAAAGUUCAAACCCUUUCCCGUUUAGAAAUUGAAUGUCUCCAAAACCCUAAAUUUCUCAUUAGCCCCUUUUCCCCCAAAGUGCACGAGCACUAAAUCUCACAUCUUGUUCAAUUAAUCUAUGAAGGAGUUGGAAUAACAGUGCAGUUUUGAAGAAUUCGUUUAGGACAAAGGUACCCGACUGAUUCACGAAGGGAGCUAUCAUUUGCACUUCCAUAAGAAAGAACCUCAUCUAACCAACUGUGUGAGGGUUCUAUUUAUUCCUUCGAUUUUAUGAGUGUUGCUUAUGCUAGAGAGGUAGUUAGUUACAGGACUGCCAAGUCAGUCCAGUUGUGAACUUAAUUUUCAGUUUGGAACUAAGGGAAGGCCCAACAAUUGUGGAGACUAAGACAGCUGACCCGAGAUCAGACGAAACGGAAAUGGUCAUGCAGACACAAACCCAGGAGGAAAUUAGGAGGAAGAGGCAUAGUAAGCUGUUAGCAACGCUUUUGUCCCAUGUACGACGACUCCGUCACUCCUGCACGAAGGCUCUGUUGUUCUUGCACGAUUGCUACUUUCCCGCGUGAUUUCGGUGUUCAGGUUCAGCAUGCUAAUAAGGUGGUUAAUUCCCAAGGUUCAACGGUGAUUUCGAAACCGAAAUCUCAUGGAACUGUUAGUGUUGAAACUCCAAAGCAUGCUGGUGGGUAAAUGAGAGAUUGAUGGUUCAGGUGUUGUCUUCAUGCACAAGGUAUAUGAUUCCCGUCUCAGUUUUUUAUGUUUUGAUUUCAUGAGUGGAGGUUAAUGGAUAUAUUGUUGAAUUUUGUGAUGUAUCAAUUUUCCUAGUUUAUAUAUAUUUUUUCUUCAUAAUAAUUGUUUGAAUCUCAGCCUUAUGGGAUAUUAGACAAUCAAACAAAAUGUUUUCAAGAACAUUCAAAAGAAACUUAUAUGCUCUGUGCUGAGAGUCUGACACCCUGAGGUUGAAAGAUAAAUUUCGUUUUCUAUGGUAAUUUUUUUAUUUUCAAUCUACAUAUUUAUUUGAAGUUCAUAAUCCUCUUCUUCUGUUCUCUUGUUUCAAUAAAAAUCAAGAGGGAUGUUUCAAUCACCUUUCCGCCAACUCGCAUUCCUUCAACUAUUGAGUACAUAGCUGAUGGAGGUUUUGGUGCAGCUUGUGCAGAGAAUAGACCAUUUGGAUUGUCUCCAGAUUCACGCUUCCUUUGGGUUGAUAAAUACAAAAUGUUUUAUUGUUGAACAUAGUGAUGUCCAGGUUCAGAAUAGAAUGCUAAUAAGGUGGUAAAUUCCCAAAGGUUCAAUGGUGAAACCGAAAUCUCAUGGAACUAUUAGUGGAGGACUGUAACUGAAGUUGAAAGCAUGCUGGUGAGUAAAGGGAUUGUUGAUGGUUCAAGUGUUGGUGUUGAUGUGGCUUCAUCCACAAAUUAGAGCAACUUUGAACAUGAAAAGCCUGAUCAAGAGGUAUAUGAUUCCUGUCUCAAUUUUUUAUGUUUUGAUUUCAUGAGUGGUGGUUAUAUUAUUGAAUUUUUUUUGUUCAUAAUAAUUGUUUGAGUCUCAGACUUAUGGGAUAUUAGACAAUCAAACACAAUUUUUUCAAGAACAUUCAAAAGAAACUGAUAUGCUCUAUGCCGAAACCCUGAGGUUGAAAGAUAAACUUAGUUUGCUGUGGUAGUUUUUUAUUUUCAUUCCACAUAUUUGCAUUCAUGCAACAAAAUUCAAUCUUCUGCUUGAUAAAAACAAAAUAACCUUACUAAUUGAGCAAAAGGUGUUUUGUCCUAAGACCCUGUUUGGUACCAAUAUUUUGAAAUAUAGAACUUUUUUGUUUACUAUGGUAAUUUUUGGCACUCUCAAUCUAAUAUAUUUGCACUGGUACAUGUUGAGAUUCCCAUUUUUGAUUUAGUCAAAAACAUUCAAUCUUUUGCAUUAAAAAAUGUAGAGCCUAACUCAUUUUUCUCAUUCUUGAUUAUUCAAGAAAUUCAAUCUUUUGCUUGAAAACAAGAAACUUUAAUUGAAGAAAUGUGUUAUGUCCCAAGAACUUACAAUAUUCUGCUUAUUGGAAAGUUCAUUCCAAAAUAUUUCCCCGUUUGGUUUAUAAUCAAUACCUAUUGGGAACGAUGAUGGGUUGUCGUUUUUUUCAUUCUUGAGUAUUCAAGAACUUUCAAUCUUCUUCUUCGAAAAAAAUGAACCUUCAAUUUUUGUAAGAGAUUAAAUGUUUUGAUGCCCAAAAAUAUUGGAUGAACUUAAUGACCCUAGUCUUUGAAUGUGAAAGCUAGUUGUUGUCUUAAUUGUCACUCAAGCUAUUAUCUCUAUCAAUGUCCUCUUUUUUCUCAAAAAUAAAUUAUGAACUUUGAUUCAUAAUGCAUGAAUGGAUAUCUAUUUUGAUUUGGUGCCCCUUAGUCCCUAAUUUCAAUUUUACAGCUGCAAUUAUAAGUGGUUUUGUAUUAUGAACUUAAUGACCUUAGUUUCUAAUGUUUCAUAAGUUUUGUAUGGGAUGGAUGCCUCAAUGACCUUGGAGUAAAAUGCAUUACAAACUCUUUAUUUAUAAAGGAAAAGGUGGAUGGUGGCCUUUAAAGAAGUUGGACGGUGCAUGGUCUCUAAUUGUGGAACUGUCAUUGAAAUGAUUUUUUUUCUUCAUUAUCCAUAAAGGGUAGUAUGGUAUACAUGAGCCCACCAACUCCAAAUUCAAUAAUAAGAUGGUUAUACUUUUUUCCAUGUUUUUUUUGUAAGAGAUUGUCUUGAUAACCCAAAAAAGUGGAUGAUGCCUUAAUGCGAAAACUAGUUGCCUUAAAUGCAAUUUUAAUAUUAAAUUUUGUUCUUAAUAUAAGGCAUUAAGGCAUAAAUAUUAGCUAUUAUGCUUUUAUGACCCUAGUACCUAAAAGCAAUUUUCAACUACAAUAUGAAGUGAUUUUGCCAAUGCAAAAUGGAGUGCAUGCUUGUGUUGGAUUAGUCUAUUGAUAAAGGUUUCCAAGGAAUAAAUGAAUCAACUGAAGCAAAGUACAAAGAAACUAACUCUUUGGUAUAUAUGGCAUUAAGCUUACCAUCUAUUUCAUAUAAGGAUGCUUGUAUUGUAAUCAAUGGAGGAAAGCGUAACAAGUUUGUAUGUGUCAAAAUUUUUGAUUGCAGGUGGAUGUAUAAGAAUAAGAUAGCACUAGAUUUGUGUUGAUAAUUAUAAAUGCAAGUCUUGAAUUUAGUAACCGAAUACAGGUGGCCUCUCUGGUAUGCAAUCUAAAAACUUGCUGUGAUGACUGUUGACAGUUCUUUCAGACAUUAUUAUUAUGUAACAGGUAUGCUUUGUGCCAAGAACCCUGAAAGAUAUGGUCAUUCAUGCUUGUUGAGAUACCUAUUUUUUUCAUUUUAGAUUUAGUCAAGAACAUUCAAUCUUCUACUUGAAAAAACUUGGAACCUUACCCAUUACUUUCAUUCUUGAUUAUUCAAGAACAUUCAAUUUUUAGCUUGAGAAAAAAAGCGAGCCUUCAAUUUUGUUAAUCAUCAUAAUUUAAAAGGGUAUAAAAACCUUGUAAGAUUGUGAAUCAUUGCGUGUUGGAAUCUUUUUUAAUUAUCCGAAAAAGGGGUGGGAUAUAUUGCCCUAAUAACCCUAAAUUUGACCGUUGGAAUCUUGUUAUAAGUUUUGUAACGGAUGGAUCAUAGAUGCCUCAAUGACCAUAGAGUAA